GACGAACGCUGGCGGCGUGCCUAAUACAUGCAAGUAGAACGCUGAAAGAGGAGCUUGCUCUUCUGGAUGAGUUGCGAACGGGUGAGUAACGCGUAGGUAACCUGCCUGGUAGCGGGGGAUAACUAUUGGAAACGAUAGCUAAUACCGCAUAAUAUUGACUAUUGCAUGAUAGUCAAUUGAAAGGUGCAAAUGCACCACUACCAGAUGGACCUGCGUUGUAUUAGCUAGUUGGUGGGGUAACGGCUCACCAAGGCGACGAUACAUAGCCGACCUGAGAGGGUGAUCGGCCACACUGGGACUGAGACACGGCCCAGACUCCUACGGGAGGCAGCAGUAGGGAAUCUUCGGCAAUGGACGGAAGUCUGACCGAGCAACGCCGCGUGAGUGAAGAAGGUUUUCGGAUCGUAAAGCUCUGUUGUAAGAGAAGAACGAGUGUGAGAGUGGAAAGUUCACACUGUGACGGUAUCUUACCAGAAAGGGACGG
rnacentral:rRNA from 1 species